rnacentral:lncRNA from 1 species
UCAAGGCAAUGAAAAAUAUAUCAUUCAAUUCUAAUAACAUAAAAUGCAUGGAUGGAUGCAUAUAUAUAUAUAUAUAUAUAUAUUCACUUGGUGUGCCUGAUUAAGCAUGCUUUUAUGUUUGCAAUGAUCAAGAGUACUAUAUCAUGAGGUCAAAUUCCAACACUUUGAACUUCACACAACAUUGAAGUUUCAGAGAUGUUGCAAGAAUAUGAAGCCCUGCCAACCACUUUAAGUGUGAAACCAUGCACCAGAUUCAAGUAGGGAUGGAUGAAUGUGUGACUAAACGGACUGGUGUUUGGAUAUAAACAUUGGAUGAGAAGUGAUUGCUUUUUUAUGGAACAGAAACCCACUUACGACCACUGAGGAAGCCAAACUUAUCCUGGCUGAGUCUCAAAAGGGAAAGGUACGUCCACAAUGGGUUGGUGGAACAAGAUUGCAAAGGCCCCCAAACUGCCAAGCCCCUUCUCUGUCCUGCCUGCCCACUCACCAUCUG